UGUGGUCAUGUGUGUUUGUAGCCACCUCUGGUUGUAGGGUCUGUCCUGAUGGGUGGGCUCACAACAGUGGGAAGUGCUACCUCUUCUCCUCCACUAGGAAGACCUGGAAUCAGAGUCGAGAUCACUGCAUCACAUUAGGGGGGCAUCUGGCCAUUGUGAACAGUCAAGAGGAACAGAAUUUUCUAUCCCAAAGUGCCAUUGAGGUUUUCUACUGGAUGGGACUGAGUGAUCUGGAGACAGAGGGACAGUGGAUUUGGGUGGACAGCACACCUCUCAGUGAGACUGGAGCCGUAUUCUGGAAGAAAGGGCCUGAUGGACAGUAUGAACCAGAUAACUGGAAGGAGGAAGA